CCUGCCUCAGCCUCCCAAGUAGCUGGUACUACAGGCGCCCACCACCAUGCCCGGCUAACUUUUUUUGUAUUUUUUAGUAGAGACAGGGUUUCACCGUGUUAGCCAGGAUGGCCUCGAUCUCCUGACCUCGUGAUCUGCCCGCCUCGGCUUCCCAAAGUGCUGGGAUUACAGGCGUGAGCCACUGCGCCCGGCCAGUUUCCCAUUUUCUGCCUCUGCCCAGUUCCUCAAUGCAAUGGAUCCAGAUGUCUGCCUUAUGCAACCACUACCUGGUGACCACUCCCUCCCAGGGACAACAGGAUACAACCCACUUCAUUGGUCCCACUGAUCCCCGCACUGCACUUUGUACAUAUGCUGCAGUCCCAUUGUGACUCCGGAGAUCUGCCACCUGCUUGCUGUUAACCUGCCAGGUAGAACUCCCUGCAGGAAACUCACCUGAGGAACAUCCUGGAGCCCAAACCCACAGGUUUCUCUGUCUGUCUAUUGCUCCCCACUUGUUGAUGGAGCGCACAUGUCCCAAGAUAGCACCCUCCUUCCAUUAGCCCUGUGUGUGAGGCAGUCACCCGCUUCCCUCUGGGAUCUGUAAGUCAUAAACUACUUCUGUUAUUUCAUAUGUUUCAUUGAGAUGUCGCUUUUACAUCUCACCUAACUGCCACGCAGAACCCAGCUCCUUUCCCGGCCAGGGCUCUCCUAGGGAGUGGUGGUCUUGGCAGGAAUAAACUGGACAGAGGUCAGACAAGAGCCGCAAGUGUGUCUGCCAGGAUAAACAAGUCUAUCCUGUGAGAGGGACAGCUGAUAGAGAGUUGGACACAGGCAUCAGGUCAGCUGCUAAAAUUGAGAGGAGUCCCCUAAAAGGCACAUCAUAAACAUCGUGAUCAAAUCUCCUGAAGACCUGUCAGGGCUCGGCUAGUUUACAGCCACUCUCUGGAGGAAGACCUCAGGACCAGAUGAGAGAAAAGUAGAAGGCGGCUCUCUCCUGGCCUUUGCGGUUGCGUGUCCCCGUCCUGCACAAGACCCUUUGGAUUCCUUGACCCUCUCUCCGCUCCUCCAGACCACUCUUGGGGCAUUUUUGGAGCAGCCGCCUGCCUUGGCCUCCCAAAGUGCCGAGAUUGCAGCCUCUGCCCGGCCGCCACCGCGUCUGGGAAGUGAGGAGUGUCUCUGCCUGGCCGCCCA
rnacentral:lncRNA from 1 species